rnacentral:rRNA from 1 species
GAUGAACGCUGGCGGCGUGCCUAAUACAUGCAAGUCGAGCGAACAGAUGAGGAGCUUGCUCCUCUGACGUUAGCGGCGGACGGGUGAGUAACACGUGGAUAACCUACCUAUAAGACUGGGAUAACUUCGGGAAACCGGAGCUAAUACCGGAUAAUAUAUUGAACCGCAUGGUUCAAUAGUGAAAGACGGUUUUGCUGUCACUUAUAGAUGGAUCCGCGCCGCAUUAGCUAGUUGGUAAGGUAACGGCUUACCAAGGCAACGAUGCGUAGCCGACCUGAGAGGGUGAUCGGCCACACUGGAACUGAGACACGGUCCAGACUCCUACGGGAGGCAGCAGUAGGGAAUCUUCCGCAAUGGGCGAAAGCCUGACGGAGCAACGCCGCGUGAGUGAUGAAGGUCUUCGGAUCGUAAAACUCUGUUAUUAGGGAAGAACAAAUGUGUAAGUAACUAUGCACGUCUUGACGGUACCUAAUCAGAAAGUCACGGCUAACUACGU